rnacentral:sRNA from 1 species
UUACGAACGUGUGCGCCGCAUUCUUGUCACCGGUCGUGGACUCAGCACCUCAUCAUUAUCCUUCUCCUCUAAACUAAAGUCAGACUAAACAAAAACCCCACUAGACUCUAGAUCUAGACUCAAACAUGUUGAUUACCAUCGCUACGUACGCUGUUGUAGUGUUCGUCAUCUACUUUGCGUACACAACUUAUACCAAGAAAAGACGUUAGCUUGUACUUAGUGAAUCCUGGCUUAAGACCCAGACGUCGUGAAACGCUGUCCUAUUUUGUUAGAGCCCUCGACGUGUUUGAAAACUGAAAUGCUGUUCCAACAUCUGAAACCAAGCCAUUCAAAAACGUGUUUCAAUGCUAACAUUCUGUUCCAACAUCUUAACAUCAUCCCUCGAAACAUCGUUUAUGAAUACUGACAUGCUGUUCCAGCAACUUGACUUUCCCCACCCCUUUCAACUAAUUAACAAACUGACAUGCUGUUUCAACAUCUUGAUCCAACCCACCUCCUUUUCCAAACAACGAUUUUGAAAACUGUGACGCUGUUCUUCCCAAUCCCUUAAAAAACGAGUUGACAAGCUGUUAUAACAUCUUGACUCCCUCAGACGACUGCUGUCAGAAAAUUUUAAAUAAAUAAAAACAAGCUACGGGAAAUGAAACGCUAAGCAGACAGGCAGUUAAAACGAAAGAUGCUUUUCUGGGAGAAAGUUGUAGAACCUCUGAAUGUUGUUUGAACAUCACGUCACGAAGAAUGAACUGAGCCACGACUGAUAUGAGCAAAUAAAACAAAAAUACAUAAAUGUG